UAGAAAGUAAUCUUUUCAUACUUAAAAGCAUUAAAGGCUGGGUAUGUAGGUUUAGUUAAAUGUGGUAUAGAAAUGGUUUGGAGGUUUCUACCUGCAGAAAAUGAUUUUUCUAACUCUCCGUAAGCACACAACUGUGAAAUGCUGCAGCUAAGUAGAAUCCUGAGGCCUUCGACACUAACUAGAAACAUUACUACUCAUGGAGUUUACCAAUGAUUUGAGGUUGUGGUAUGAAUGUGUAUAUUUUAUCCUUUAUUAGGUACAACUGGCAUUUAAGUUUCUGGAAGGAAGACUGAGCUGUGCAAUUCCUGUAUUUCUUGUAAAACAAAAACAAAACAAAACUCUAGUUAUGGCGAGUUUGAAUGAGCUGGGAAUCUCCGCACACUGGACAUUUUUUCCCCACUAACUUUACUUUUAGAAGUUGCGAAUCCGAAAUGUCAAAUUCCCAAUCAGUAUGAAGACAGCUUGGUAAAGAUUCUGUCCAUGUUCUGAUUUCUCUGAUCUCUCCACUAAUGAGACUCCAUGUUGAAUGUUGGUCUUGGUACUUGGGGAUCUUUCCCAUGAAAGAGGUUCAGUUAUAUUUACUCUACGGUACUGUGUCAGGAAUGGUCAUUAAUGAUUUUAUAUGAAGAUUUUGAAUACUUGUUAAACACAGGUUGGAACAAACUGGAAGUGUUCAUGUGUUACUCAGUGACCAUUUCUAUUUCAGGAUCAUACAGAUAACUUCAUUAGCACUUCGACUUCAGAAUUAAUGUAAAAUUUACUUUUGUCUACUGAGCAUUUUGGGUUUCUUGUAAACAAUUUUAUGUUAUCACACAAUUGUUGAUGGUAUCAGCUUAUUUUUCUUAAUUUUCAAAAAUGUUUAUCUAUAUUUGAGAGAGAGACAGAGAUAAAAUCCAAAGCAGUCUCCAGGCUCUGAGCUGUCAUCACGGAGCCCUACGUGGGACUUGGACUCACAAGCCAUGAGAUCAUGACCUCUGAGCCACAUCGGAUGCUUAACUGAUUGAGCCACCCGGGCACCCCCAGUGGUGGCAACUUACUAAUUUUGAGUGGUGAACUAAUUGUAAUUUCACAGAUUUUAUAUUCAGUUUUGAAUCAAAAGUAAAAGGCCAUGUAUUCCUCAUGGUACGUGGACAGUGUCACUUCAGUAAAUUUAAGUAGGAUCUCAAGCAAAAUAUUAGUUAAUUGAAUUUGUUUUUUCAGGUUAAUGAAUGAUACCAACAUACUUCUGUAACUCAUUUUGUGGCAACCAACCAAUAAAUAUGUCACCAAAAUAAG